rnacentral:rRNA from 1 species
UGUAACAACUCUCAACAACGGAUAUCUCGACUCUCACAUCGAUGAAAAACAUAGCAAAAUGCGAUACUUUGUGUGAAUUGGAGAAUCCCAUGAACCAUCAAGUCUUUGAAUGCAAGUUAAGCAUAAGGCCUUCCUGUCAAGCGCACAUCUGCUGGAUGUCACAC